CAAAUGCAGGGUGUGUGAUCACAAAAGUCUGGGAGAGUUGGUUGGCCCAUAGGCUUCUGAAAUGUUGGCCAUAAAAUUGCUCCUAACUCCACCACCCAUCCCAAACCUAUAAGAACCAAUGAUAAUCCCACCACCCUUUGCUGACUCCUUUCUCAGACUCAACCCACUUGCACCCAAGUGAAUAAACAGCCUUGUUGCUCACACUAAGCCUGCUCAGGUGGUCUCUUAUACAAAUGCCGUAAUAGCCACAUGUAGGAGAAUGAAGCUGGAUCCU
rnacentral:lncRNA from 1 species